GACGAACGCUGGCGGCGUGCUUAACACAUGCAAGUCGAGCGGAAAGGCCCUUCGGGGUACUCGAGCGGCGAACGGGUGAGUAACACGUGAGUAACCUGCCCCAGACUUUGGGAUAACCCUCGGAAACGGGGGCUAAUACCGGAUACGACACAGCUUCGCAUGGGGUCUGUGUGGAAAGUUUUUCGGUUUGGGAUGGGCUCGCGGCCUAUCAGCUUGUUGGUGGGGUGAUGGCCUACCAAGGCGACGACGGGUAGCCGGCCUGAGAGGGCGACCGGCCACACUGGGACUGAGGCACGGCCCAGACUCCUACGGGAGGCAGCAGUGGGGAAUAUUGCACAAUGGGCGGAAGCCUGAUGCAGCGACGCCGCGUGAGGGAUGACGGCCUUCGGGUUGUAAACCUCUUUCAGCAGGGACGAAGCGUAAGUGACGGUACCUGCAGAAGAAGCGCCGGCCAACUACGUG
rnacentral:rRNA from 1 species